AGCUUCUAAAGCCUUUGCAAACAUAGAACACUGAUCCUACAAUUUCUCUCCAGUUUCCUCAUGUGGCAUAGGAAUAUUUCUCCUUUUGCUGUUUUAUGAUGCUACCUUUUAAGCAGAGAGAGACGUGGCAGCCUGAGCUUUGGUCAAGCUCACCCAACCAAGCACAUUUAGGAAGUCAGCAGGAGCACACACCUACGUAGCAGCCUGUUGCUGAGUGACGGAGAGGAAAGGCAGGGAUGUUCACUCCAAACAGCAGGAAGCAAGCAGUCGGGUCCCUCUGAACUGGUCCUGACAGAAAUCUGCUUCCUCACGCAGCCCAGUUUGCCACGUCAAACUUCCUCACACAGCACCAAGUUACAGAAACCUGACUCAGCUUCAAGCGGCGACAUGGCACAAAGCCACUUGGCAAGAGCAGGCCUAGGAUCAAAAUCUGGGGAGCUUCAAUCACAGAACAAGCCCCAGGCCACUGUCACUGGACAACGAGAGCCAAGAUGUGCUUCUCACCCGGGACCAAGUUCGGAUUUGGGCAAAUUGGUUUCGCUACCGGAUAGGAUGUCCCGAAGCUUGAAGAUACAGUUGCCAUUUUUACUCUAUUUCCAAUACUGCCUUCCUCCAAAGAGGAAAUUAAGUUGAUACAGAGACAAGAAAACCGCCGGCCGUGCCACUGGAAUACUGUGGCCACUGAGGACCCUAACCACGCAGUUCCAGCAUCCCAAGACAAAAAGAUGGGGGCGGGGCGGCUAAAAACUGCCCACGCCCACCCACCCCACCCCCAUUAUCAAACUGCACGAAAAGGCUAAAGGAGCAACGUAUGAGGUCUCCUCCGCUGCCCUGCCACAGGUAUUGCUUGCCGGUACAGGAAGGUACACGAUUCAAGACCCCGAAGAGAUUGGAAUUUACAGGCGAAUCUGGCACUUAAAGGAGAAUCUGGCACGUGUACACGAACAAUUUGAUGACGUAUUCGCGCAAUGCUCUACAGAGGAAGGAAAGCCCAAGGCAGCCUGGCAAAGUGUAAAAGAGGAAGGAAAAGAUGUCCCAACGGAAAAGUAUGGGGAGAGAUGUCAUCACUGAAGCUGAAAUUGCUAGACUUCUGUGUAUUCCUUCUAGGAAUGCCUACAGAUUGACUGAACCUACUCCGAACAGGGAUCGAUACAUGUGUAGAGACCCCGUGUUUAGCUCACUGUAUUGUGAGAAACAGCUGAGAAAGGCAACAUAUGUCACAACUGGAACUUGACUUCUCUUUUCUAUCUAGCCCUAAAAACUAGGACCAUCUGGCUUGUUUCUCAUAAUGCCCCAUGCCUAGAUAGAAAGGCCUUCAACCAACCCUAGGUUUGAUAUCGCUACCACUUUUGCUCAAACUUACAAAAACAAACCAGAUCAGUGUUUUGUUUUCAAUAUAUACUUUCUUCUGAGCCUCCUGGAUGGCUCAGUCGGUUAAGUGUCUGCCUUCAGCUCAGGUCAUGGUCCCAGGGUCCUGGAAUCGAGUUCCCCAUCAGGCUCCCUGCUCAGCGGGAAGCCUGCUUCUCCCUCUCCCACUCCCCCCUGCUUGUGUUCCCUCUCUCUCGCGGUCUCUCUCUCUGUCAAAUAAAUAUAUAAAAUCUUUAAAAAUAUAUACAUACAUAUAUAUACUUUCUUCUGGGGUACAAGAAGAUAAAAAUACUUGACAAAUCUCUUUACUGACAAAAUCCCUGGGCAAAAACUUGCACGGGGAUGAUGCUACUGCUGAAAUUCUACAUUAGUUUUGCAGGCAUUUUAAGAUAUUCCAGCAUGGUGAAGACACUAAUGGUCCCUUUCCCCCUUCUCCUUUUUUACAAUUUUAAGGUGUGACACCCUGCCUACACCCAGCUUCAACCCUGGUCAGAUUUGAGAAUCCACAAUGAAAAAUUUGUUUUAAAUUUGUUUCUUGUGUUCUCAAUAUAAUGAAAAUGUUUGAUGGAGUUUAGGAAGCUUUGGUCUGUGUAGAAGCAGCACAGCUUGUAAGAGCAAUAAAAAAAAAAAGUUGUCAUAUCACAGUUAUGUCACAAUGUAGGAGAGAGUAGUCCCUUGGAGAUAGGAACAUUAUGUAAUGAGUUGGUUGGCUUGUUGUCUCUAUAAAACCACUAAGUUUGAGUUUGUAAAUUCUUUCUUACCUCUGUUCAGGGAUCAGGACAGUUUGUGAUUUUAGUUCUAACACAGUGUUGGAUUCCUAAAUAUUUAAAGUUGGAAGGGAUUAGAAAUAUGGAUAGCUCAAUAUUCAGUGAGGACUGAAUUCAAUUUUAUAAAUUAAAAAGCCAAAUUUCAAAAAAUGAAAAUAACUUACUAGUCUUUUAGUUGGAAGACAUGCCUUCUGAUUUUAAUUUCAAAGCAUUUUUUACCUCAUUUUCCUUCCUCUUACUAUUACUCUAUUCAAUGGUUUUGCCUUUCUCUCCUAUAUCUGCCUUAUAUUUAAGCUUUCAAAUAAAUACAAUAUUGAUAGACCAUACAGCUCCACCAGUGUUUGGAGUUAGUAAUCACAAAUUUCUUUUUCUUAUGAAAUAGACUUCUAGUUUGUCCUGCUUCCCUUCUUGUGACCUUAAGUAACCACCCCUUUAGUGACUAAUUUCUGACCUUAUUCUUGUGGUAGGAUUGCUGAACUUCACCAGACAGGAAGGUUAGCCUGGAUUCCCAGUCUUGGUCGGACCUACCCCACUGCCACCUGAUGUCAGCCUCUGAUGUUCCAUGUAUAAUUAACAUGGUCACCCUGGUAACCAUAUCCUAAUUGAAAGGUGAGGUCACAGGGAAUGUCCAUGUGCUGGGGUUCUGUGUUCUUUAGGGUCUUUCUGUUCUAACUUUAUUUUUAUUAUUUUUUAUUUUUUUAAGUAAUCUCUGUGCCCAAUGUGGAGCUCAAAUUCACAACCCUAAGAUUAAGAGUCGCAUGCUCCACUGACUGAGCUAGCCAGGCAUCCCUCUGUUCUAACUUUGAAAGGAAAAGAAAGCAGAGAAUCGGGUGCCUGGGUGGCUCAGUUGGUUAAGCGACUGCCUUCAGCUCAGGUCAUGAUCCUGAAGUCCCAGGAUCGAGUCCCGCAUCAGGCUCCCUGCUCGGCAGGGAGUCUGCUUCUCCCUCUGACCCUCCCCCCUCUCAUGCUCUCUCUCUCUCAUUCUCUCUCUCAAAUAAAUAAAUAAAAUCUUUAAAAAAAAAAAAAAAGAAGAGAAUCAACUGCACAAGACUAUAUAGAAUGAGAAUGAACUUCCAGACAAUACUCAGGGUUCUUUCUGAUAUGUAUGCUUUGGAAGAAAAGAACUAUGAUGCUCUAAGCAUUUAUUUUUUAAUUUUUUAAAAAGAUUGAUUUAUUUGAGAGAGAGAGAGAGAGAGCAGGGUUGGGGGGGCAGAGGAAAGGGGAGAGAGAGAAUCUCGAGACUCCCACUGAGCAUGAAGCCCGACUCUGGGCUCUAUCCGAUGACCCUGAGAUCAAGACCUGAGCCAAAACCAAGAAUUGGACACCAAACCAACUAAGCCACCCAGGAACCCCUCUAAGCAUUUAUGUAACUUAAGUUUGGUUCAAAAGCUACAGUUCAAAGAGGGUUUAUAUUUAAAAAGUUGAAAUAGUCAAGACUUGGAUUAUGUUAAAUAUCUGAAAGCACAGUAAAUAAGGCCAAAUUAAAUGGUGGUGGGGAGAAGGGUACAUGGUACACCAGGUUGAGUAGCAACCUGUAACAGUAACAAUACAGUUCAAGUGUUCAAGAAGGCCCUACGCCAAGGUAUUUCUGGAAUUACUUUUUUCUCUUUUUUUAAUAACAGCUUUAUUGAGAUAUAAUUAACAAUUCAUCCAUUUAAAGUAUACAGUCCAGUGGUUUUUAGUAUGUAUACAGAGUUGUAUAGCCAUCAUCACAAUAAAUUUUAGAAUAUUUCCAUCAUUCCCCAAUAAACUCUACCCAUUAGUAGUCACUCCCCUUUCUCCCGUACUCUCCCAUUCCACAGCCCUAGGCAAGCACUGGUCUACUUUUUAUCUGUAUAGAUUUUGUAUUCUAGACACCUCAUAUAAAUGGAAUCAUACAAUAUGUAAUCCUUUGUGAUUAUCCUUUCACUUAGCAUGAUGUUUUCAAGGUUCACCCAUGAUGUAGUAUGUAUCAGUACUUCUUAUUGCCAAAUAAUAUUCCAUUGUAUGGAUAUAGUACAUUUCAUUAUCCAUUCAUCAGUUGAUGGGCAGUUAGGUUGCUUCCCCUUUUAGGCUGUUAUGAAUACUGUUGCCAUGAACAUUCAUGUACAAAUUUUUGUUUAGAUAGAUGUUUUUAUUUUUCUUGGGAACUUCAAAUAAACAAUAUAGUAUCAAACAACAACAGCAACAACAAAAACAAUAGUCUGGCUCCAAAGGCUAUGCUCUUAGCAAUUAGGCAAUGUUGCCACUCUGUAUGAGAUUUUAUUUUUAAAAUAAAAUAGGCAAUGUCACCCCCCCAAAAAGACGACAACAACAAAAUAAUUAAAAUUGAAAUCUCUGGUGAGAAUGUAACUUACCAAAGCUGAUUCCAGAAGAAAUUUUUAAAAGUUAAAUGUAGAGUUACCAUACGAUCCAGCAAUUUCCUCCUAGCUACAAUUACUUUUUUUUUAAUUUAUUUUUUAUUUUUUUAAUUUAUUUUUUUUCAUGGAAUAGUACGGGGAUUGGCAAACUGCAAAAUCUGGCCCACCUGCCUGUUUUUGUACAGCCUGCAAGCUGAGAAUGGUUUCUAUAUAUUUAGAUGGUUGAAAAUCAAAAGAAGAAUAAUAUUUCGUGACACAAAAAUUCUAUGAAAUUCAAAUUUCAAUGUCCAUAAAUAAAGUUUUAUUGGAACACAGCCAUGCUUUUCAUUAUCAUACUUUUCAUUAUCAUAUCAUAUCACUACAGCGGCACAGUUGAGUAGUUGUGACACUGGCCACAAAGCUCAAAAAAUUUCAAACAUAUACUACCUGGCCCUUUACCGAAAAAGCUUGCCGACGCUUGGUCUGGUAGAACCUACAAGUACAGUACAGUGGAUUAGCAUUUAAUUAGAAGACCAGGUUGCCAUGGGAAAAUCUAAGAAGAGACAUUUGACCCAGACUUGAAAAGUGAGAGAGAUAUCCCUGGUACAGGGGGCAUCUGAACUGAGUCCCUGAGGACAAGAAUAAGUCAGGCAAAAAAAGGAGCGAGGGGGCAGCAGGAAUAGCAGGAAUGGAAGAGGAAAGACAAGGAACCUGGGGCAUUCAGAUGUGAGGUAGUCCAGUACAGCUCAAAGGUGGGGUUCUAGAGGAGUGAGGACAGGAAUGAGAUCAGGCAAGCAGCUAAGCUAGCUCCUGGGGUCCCUCAAAGGCACUGGAGAGGCAAUGAGAACUUUUAAGCAAAGGAAUGAAUCAAUGAUUUUUUUUUUUUUUUUUUUUUUUUGCCCCAGAAAUCAGUCUGGCAGACAGAGAUAGGGCUUUGCAGUCAGACCAAGUCAUGAUUUCUGUUUCUGCCACUUAACAAGCUGUGUGUUCCCUCUCUAACCUUCAGUUAUCCUCACCAAUAAAAAUGGCAGUAAUUACAAUAAAAAUGGCAGUAAUUAUAAUACUAAUCACAAAAAUUUUGUGGGUAUUAAAUGAAAUCAUGCAGGUAGAGUACUUGGUACCGUGUUUGGCACAUAAUAAAAGCUCAAUAAUGUUGUUAUGGUACCAUUAUCAUAAUUAUCAUUAUGAACAGCAUUAUCUGUGACAAUGGAAUUAAGGAGAUAAAGUCUAAGGAUGAAACCCCAGGGAAUUCUGCAAUAAGUGCACAUUCUAAGCUUACUAAUCUUGGCUUGCUCGUAAAUUUGGGAUAUGACAUUCUUCUCAUUGUGAUCAUGAACACUUAAUGAUAUAAAGUGCUAUGGAACAAAGUAAAAGUAGAGCAGGGUAAGGAGGAUUGGACUGCUAAGUGGGCGAUGGGUUACAUUAUGUGGGGUAAUUAGUGAUUGUAGAAUUUCCUGGGGUAGUUAGGGUAGGGCCCUGCAGGAACUGGAAGUAUGUCAUUCAGAUAGCUCUCCCUUCAUGAUUAUCUGCUCCAAGAAAUGUAAGCGGAUGACAUCCCUCAGCUGUUAUGCAUUUCCCGACAGCAUUAAAAACAUACCCUCAUGGGUAAGGGUGGAAUUUUCUUUUGAAAGGAGCCAAUGUUUCUAUUGUUCACCAAAAUGAAAAGUGUUUCACUGCCCGAGAACUAAGGUGACUUUUUGGACUUUCU